UCGGAGAGUUUGAUCCUGGCUCAGGACGAACGCUGGCGGCGUGCCUAAUACAUGCAAGUCGAGCGGACAGAAGGGAGCUUGCUCCCGGAUGUUAGCGGCGGACGGGUGAGUAACACGUGGGUAACCUGCCUGUAAGACUGGGAU
rnacentral:rRNA from 1 species